UACGUAGGUGGCAAGCGUUGUUCGGAAUUAUUGGGCGUAAAGGGCGCGUAGGCGGUUUGCUAAGUCAGUUGUGAAAGCCCGGGGCUCAACCCCGGAGGGUCGGCUGAUACUGGUGGACUAGAGUACGGAAGAGGUAGCUGGAAUUUCCGGUGUAGCGGUGAAAUGCGUAGAUAUCGGAAGGAACACCAGUGGCGAAAGCGGCUUCCUGGUCCAGCAUCGACGUUCAGGCACGAAAGCGUGGGGAGCAAACAGG
rnacentral:rRNA from 1 species